rnacentral:rRNA from 1 species
ACGAACGCUGGCGGCAGGCCUAACACAUGCAAGUCGCGCGAGAUCUUCGGGUCUAGCGGCGGACGGGUGAGUAACGCGUGGGAAUAUGCCUCUUGGUACGGAAUAGCCUCGGGAAACUGGGAGUAAUACCAUAUGUGCCCUUUGGGGGAAAGAUUUAUCGCCAAGAGAUUAGCCCGCGUUGGAUUAGGUAGUUGGUGGGGUAAUGGCCUACCAAGCCGACGAUCCAUAGCUGGUUUGAGAGGAUGAUCAGCCACACUGGGACUGAGACACGGCCCAGACUCCGCGGGGGGGAGGGAGGGGGGAUUCUAGAAAAAGGGGGCAACCCCUGACCUCCCCAGGCGGGGGGAGUGAGAAGGGCUUGGGGUUUGAAAAGCUCUUUCAGCGGGAAAGAUAAGGAGGGAACCAGAAGAAGAACCCCGGCCUACCCCCGU